rnacentral:rRNA from 1 species
GACGUAGGGCGCGAGCGUUAAUCGGAAUUACUGGGCGUAAAGCGUGCGCAGGCGGUGAUGUAAGACAGGUGUGAAAUCCCCGGGCUUAACCUGGGAACUGCAUUUGUGACUGCAUCGCUGGAGUGCGGCAGAGGGGGAUGGAAUUCCGCGUGUAGCAGUGAAAUGCGUAGAUAUGCGGAGGAACACCGAUGGCGAAGGCAAUCCCCUGGGCCUGCACUGACGCUCAUGCACGAAAGCGUGGGGAGCAAACAGG